UCAAACCUCUGACACGUAGAGCUUACGGUCGAGAUCGAGUUCCUCACAUUAAGAUCUAUCUAUCUUUUUCGAGGGAAAUCUCAUUCCAGUCACACGACGUUAUCCAUCUCCCAAAACAUACUGGCAACUUUUCAUACUUCAUGCACCGGAUUGAUGUGUGCUUAGAAUCCACGUUAUCUCGCUCGCCACAAAUGCUCCCAACUUCAGUACGAUCCAUUUCCCCUAUAAAUCUCCUCCGGUUUCUGUGAUCACCGUGCCGCGCCACAGUUUACCGGAUCGAUGAAGCCCGGAAGUCUCCUCUCCCCCCUUCUUCUCGUCCUCUUGUUUCAAGCUUGUCGGUCUGCGUCCAACCAAACCACACUCGGUGGAGCAGACGAGGCUCGCCGACUGCCUCGACUCGACCAGAGCCAGCCGGCUCCAGGUGGCCUCAAUGCGACCGUCGUCUCGAGGGCGGGGAAAGGGGAGUUGGACGCCAUGAGGAGCACGACCCACUCGAAGGGUGGCGGCAGCGGUGGCGGCAGCGGUAGCGGUAGCGGCGCGGGAAAAGGAGGAGGGAAGGGCGUCGGGAGCGGGAAGGGCGAGGGCGGCGGGUCGCAGUCGGUCCGUCAGCCGCGCGACCCGCGAAGCAGCGGGGCGUCGAGGCGGCGGCCGUGCUCGUCUCUCGCGCGGCUCCUCCUCCGUCUGCACCUGUUCUGCCUCCUGCUUUGGUGGUGGUGGUGGUGGUGGUGGUGGUUGUGGCGGUGGUGAAGAAGAAGAAGAAGAAGAAGAAGAAGAAGAAGAAGAAGAAGAAGAAGAAGAAGAAGAAGAAGAAGGCGGAGGAUAGUGAUGAGUUGGUGAUGGUCGAUGCCAUCAAAGAAGAACUGGCUGAUGUUUUUGCUAUCGUUUCCUGAUGUAAAUCAGCCUGGCUUUGUAUGAUUCAUGUUUAUUGUCUCCGUCCGUCAUGACAAACAGAAAAUGGACAGAUUUGUGUU